CAGUGCCUCUCCCUCUGCCCACUCGGCCGCCACGUGGUAGCUAAGUGAGGGCCUUGGGGCAGUGC
rnacentral:miRNA from 17 species